CAGAUGCCGACGUCACUUGAUUUAAUCAUUUUAAUACCAGAAUCUGAUGAAGGACAGAAGCUGCACGAUUUCUUAGAGAGUUUAAUUUUUAAUUUUUGGCCCGUGUGAAGACAUGUGUGCCUCCGGAGGUUGUGCUGAAGCGAGCUCCUCCUGGUGAACGCGUUCCCGCACGCAGUGCACGUGAGGCUGCUCAUGUAAGGAGACGGCAUCCUGGAGGGUCUUCGUGGCGUGCAAGGCCUCAUGAGCGCGCAGGUUGUAUUUGGUUUUGAAGCCCUUCUGGCAGACGGCGCAGACGAAAGGUCGCGCGUCCGUAAAAGAGAUUUUUCUUCAUGCAGCUAAACUUGAUGACUUGUUUUUUUUAAAUAUGAGUUGUAAAAGCAUUUCCAUGUCUAUUAUUUGCUUGUUUUCCGUUCGUUAAAAUAGUGUUUUUUUUGUUGUAUUAUCUCCGUAUGUAGUCCACUGCUGCAACCAUGAUGCAACCUAUGUUGGUCAUCUUUUACUAUUCUUAUCUUGUGUUCUGUGUCUCAUUUCUGCAAUUUCCUGCCUAUAAACAGUAAAAAUGGUCAUCUUGGGUUUAACUAGAGUCAUUUAUGAGUUUAUGAAAUCGUUUUUAUCUUCAGAUUACCGCUGAUCAGUCAAUAUUUGUUCCUAAAAGUCAAUAUUUCUCAGGAAUUGUGAAAACAAAAAAUACAUCAUGUCGAAUAAAGGUUUUAAAAAGUGGAUUUAAGUCAAUUAAAGUAUCUUAAAAGUC